AGUACAGUGGUGCCCCGCAAGACGAAUGCCUCGCAAGACGGAAAACUCGCUAGACGAAAGAGUUUUCCGUUUUGGAGGUGCCUCGCAAAACGAAUCUGCAAUGGGCUUGCUUCGCAAGACGAAAAUGUCUUGCGAGUUCCUGGGUUUUUUUUUUCCUUUCCCCCCUCUUUUUCUAAGUCGCUAAUCCGCUUAUCUGCUUAUCUGAUAAGCUGAUAAGCUGCUAAAAGCCGCUAAAAGCCGCUAAAAGCCACUAAUAGCGCUAAUAGCGCUAAUCCACUAAUCCCGUC